GUAAAGUUCUCAUAACACGUACAGGUAUUAUGGGGUGGAAGCCAAAUUCAGCAGCUGGAGCUGGGGAAGAAAUGGAGCAGCUCUUUAGCUGUUUCAACUUAACAACAAAGUACAUGAAUGCAGCUGGUGUGUGAUUAUAUCUUUGCUAAAUAAUUAGUGGUUAUCUAUUAGGCCGAGAAGAACAGCUAACAGAAGCAGCAAUAUUUUGGAAUGAUAGAAAGAUCAGUAGUCUUCCAAGCUACUCGCUUAAACAAGACUCGACUGUAGACUCGACGUGAUCUGGAUGAACUCAAAAAAGAAUUGCUUCUCCUUUAAGAUAAAGUUAGUAAGGAUCUGACCCCUGAAUAUUGCGAACAAUGCCGUCAAGAGGUGCAAGAAAUCGCAAGGAGAGAAUGUUCAGGUGGUGAUAUAAUUGAUUGCGAACAGCAAAGAGUUGACUACUUCCAACUGAAGAUGUCAAACGACACUGUUGCAGCCACUGGUUAGAGGAUCUAACUCAGCAAUGAGUAUUUUAACAGGAUAAUAAUAAUAAUAAUAAUAAUAAUAAUAAUAUUAUAGGCAAUGAACAGCUGUAUGCUGAGGCUGAAAAACUUCACCACCAGCGACGGAUGUCUGAAUUAAAGCAAUCAAAUGCCAUUUCUCCGGAUCAAGUUGAUACCGAGUGUGAACUAGCUGCAGCAAGAGCAGCCACAUGCAAGUUUAAGGAACGUAUAGAAUUAGGGUACUUAACAGCUCAAAGGAGGCAUGCCAACAUGU